AGUGAACGCUGGCGGCAGGCCUAAUACAUGCAAGUCGAACGGCAGCACAGCAGAGCUUGCUCUGUGGGUGGCGAGUGGCGGACGGGUGAGGAAUACAUGGGAAUCUGCCCAGUCGUGGGGGAUAACGUAUGGAAACAUACGCUAAUACCGGCAUGCGCCCUACGGGGGAAAGUCGGGGACCGCAAGGCCUGACGCGAUUGGAUGAGCCCAUGUUCGAUUAGCUAGUUGGCGGGGUAAAGGCCCACCAAGGCGACGAUCGAUAGCUGGUCUGAGAGGAUGAUCAGCCACACUGGAACUGAGACACGGUCCAGGACUCCUACGGGAGGCAGCAGUAGGGAAUAUUGGACAAUGGGGGCAACCCUGAUCCAGCCAUGCCGCGUGAGUGAAGAAGGCCCUCGGGUUGUAAAGCUCUUUUGUCCGGAAAGAAAGCAUCUGGUUAAUACCCGGGUGUUCUGACGGUACCGGAACGAAUAAGCACCGGCUAACUUC
rnacentral:rRNA from 1 species